rnacentral:rRNA from 1 species
CGUGAAGGAAGACUGCCCUACGGGUUGUAAACUUCUUUUGUACAGGAAUAAAAGACAUUACGUGUAGUGUAUUGCAUGUACUGUACGAAUAAGCAUCGGCUAACUCCGUGCCAGCAGCCGCGGUAAUACGGAGGAUGCGAGCGUUAUCCGGAUUUAUUGGGUUUAAAGGGUGCGCAGGCGGGAUUUUAAGUCAGCGGUGAAAUUUUCAGGCUCAACCUGAACACUGCCGUUGAAACUGGGAUUCUUGAGUAUGGAUGAAGUAGGCGGAAUUCGUUGU